GACGAGCGCUGGCGGCGUGCCUAAUACAUGCAAGUUGAGCGCUGAAGGUUGGUACUUGUACCAACUGGAUGAGCAGCGAACGGGUGAGUAACGCGUGGGGCAUCUGCCUUUGAGCGGGGGACAACAUUUGGAAACGAAUGCUAAUACCGCAUAAAAACUUUAAACACAAGUUUUAAGUUUGAAAGAUGCAAUUGCAUCACUCAAAGAUGAUCCCGCGUUGUAUUAGCUAGUUGGUGAGGUAAAGGCUCACCAAGGCGAUGAUACAUAGCCGACCUGAGAGGGUGAUCGGCCACAUUGGGACUGGGACACGGCCCAAACUCCUACGGGAGGCAGCAGUAGGGAAUCUUCGGCAAUGGACGAAAGUCUGACCGAGCAACGCCGCGUGAGUGAAGAAGGUUGUCGGAUCGUAAAACUCUGUUGGUAGAGAAGAACGUUGGUGAGAGUGGAAAGCUCAUCAAGUGACGGUAACUACCCAGAAAGGGACGGCUAACUACGUG
rnacentral:rRNA from 1 species